rnacentral:rRNA from 1 species
GACCUCAGAUCAGGCAAGACUACCC